AGCGACGCCGCAUGCUUGUAAUUUUCUUCUGACCCUAAUGGCUCCGGUUUCCCCUCAGUAUUUAAGCGGAACAAGACAGAGAUUCAUUAAAUCCAGCUGAGGGUGGAGCUAAUGGAAGGAGCAGGUACCAGGUUCCAAGAUGGCAGGUGAGACGGUAGGGUGCCACCCCCCAUCUCCUGCUGCCCCCUCAAGC
rnacentral:lncRNA from 1 species